CUGUCAGGCUAGAGUGCAGGAGAGGAAGGUAGAAUUCCCGGUGUAGCGGUGAAAUGCGUAGAGAUCGGGAGGAAUACCAGUGGCGAAGGCGGCCUUCUGGACUGACACUGACACUGAGGUGCGAAAGCGUGGGUAGCAAACAGGAUUAGAUACCCUGGUAGUCCACGCCGUAAACGAUGUCGACCAGCCGUUGGGUGCCUAGAGCACUUUGUGGCGAAGUUAACGCGAUAAGUCGACCGCCUGGGGAGUACGGCCGCAAGGUUAAAACUCAAAUGAAUUGACGGGGGCCCGCACAAGCGGUGGAGCAUGUGGUUUAAUUCGAUGCAACGCGAAGAACCUUACCUACCCUUGACAUCUACAGAAGCCGGAAGAGAUUCUGGUGUGCCUUCGGGAACUGUAAGACAGGUGCUGCAUGGCUGUCGUCAGCUCGUGUUGUGAAAUGUUGGGUUAAGUCCCGUAACGAGCGCAACCCUUGUCCUUAUUUGCCAGCGAGUAAUGUCGGGAACUCUAAGGAGACUGCCGGUGACAAACCGGAGGAAGGUGGGGACGACGUCAAGUCAUCAUGGCCCUUACGGGUAGGGCUACACACGUGCUACAAUGGCCGGUACAAAGGGCUGCGAGCUCGCGAGAGUCAGCGAAUCCCUUAAAGCCGGUCUCAGUCCGGAUCGGAGUCUGCAACUCGACUCCGUGAAGUCGGAAUCGCUAGUAAUCGUGAAUCAGAAUGUCACGGUGAAUACGUUCCCGGGCCUUGUACACACCGCCCGUCACACCAUGGGAGUGGACUGCACCAGAAGUGGUUAGCCUAACGCAAGAGGGCGAU
rnacentral:rRNA from 1 species